rnacentral:rRNA from 1 species
AAAUCAACCGAGAUUCCGCUAGUAGUGGCGAGCGAACGCGGAAGAGGCCAAACCAAGAGUAGUAAUACUUUUGGGGUUUUGGACAGCGUACGGUAUUAACUGCGGUUAGUAGAAUGAAAUGGGAAGUUCAACCACAGAGCGUGAUAGUCGCGUACACGAAAACUAAAGUUAGCCAGCUGGAUCCAGAGUACCGCCGGACACGUGAAACCCGGUGGGAAGACGGGGGGACCACCCUCCAAGCCUAAAUACUCUCCAAUGACCGAUAGUGUAUAGUACUGUGAAGGAAAGGUGAAAAGAACCCCUGGCGGGGAGUGAAAUAGAACCUGAAACCUUGUGCCUACAAGCACAUAGAGCGCGUCAAUGCGUGAUAUGGUACCUUUUGUAGAAUGGUCCGGCGAGUGAAUGUCACUGGCGAGGUUAAGCUCUUCAGGAGUGCAGCCGAAGCGAAAGCGAGUCUGAAAUGGGCGUUUUUAGUCAGUGGUAUUCGACCCGAAACCGGGUGACCUAGCCAUGAGCAGGCUGAAGUGGAGGUAAAACUCCAUGGAGGGCCGAACCCACUCCCGUUGAAAUGGUAGGGGAUGACUUGUGGCUAGCGGAGAAAUUCCAAUCGAACCCGGAGAUAGCUGGUUCUCUCCGAAAUAGCUUUAGGGCUAGCCUCAAUUAACAUUACCGCAGGUAAAGCACUGAAUGAGCUAGGGGGCGAAAGCUUACUGAACUCUAUCAAACUCAGAAUGGCGGAUAAUGAAUGAUUGGGAGUCACACUACGUGAGAUAAGUUUCGUGGUGGAAAGGGAAACAGCCCAGACCCACAGCUAAGGUCCCAAAGUACAGUUAAGUGGAAAAGGAUGUGAAAUUGCGCAGACAACCAGGAUGUUGGCUCAGAAGCAGCCACUCAUUCAAAGAGUGCGUAAUAGCUCACUGGUCGAGUGAUUUUGCGCCGAAAAUUUAACGGGGCUAAACUGUACACCGAAGCUUGGGAAUAUACAUUUGUAUGUUGGUAGGAGAGCGUUGUGUAAGGGGUGAAGUCGUAGCGAAAGCGGCGGUGGACUUUACACAAGUGAGAAUGCCGGAAUGAGUAGCGAGAAUUAUGUGAGAAUCAUAAUGGCCGAAAGACUAAGGUUUUAGAAGGAAGGUUCGUCCGCUUCUAGUUAGCCGGGAGCUAAGGCGAGGCCGAGAGGCGUAGUCGAUGCACAUACGGUUGAGAUUCCGUAGCUACCUUGCAUUUAAGCGAAGGGACACAUUUGAAGGGCAUGACCCGGGCGUUGGUUGACCCGGGCGUAAGGGACCGAAAAUAAGUAGGGAAGCAUGCUUGGAUGGUGGCGAGAAAAGCUUCGUGUAUAUAAGCAGGGUACCCGUACUGCAAACCGACACAGGUAGUCAGGAAGAGGAUUCUAAGGCCAUCGGGAGAAGCGUUGUUAAGGAACUCGGCAAAUUGACCCCGUAACUUCGGAAUAAGGGGUGCUCACGCGAGUGAGCCGCAGUGAAUAGGUCCAGGCAACUGUUUAUCAAAAACACAGCUCUCUGCUAAAUCGUAAGAUGACGUAUAGGGGGUGACACCUGCCCGGUGCUGGAAGGUUAAGAGGAGGGGUGCAAGCUCCGAAUUGAAGCCCCAGUAAACGGCGGCCGUAACUAUAACGGUCCUAAGGUAGCGAAAUUCCUUGUCGGGUAAGUUCCGACCCGCACGAAUGGUGUAAUGAUCUGGACACUGUCUCAACAACGCACCCGGCGAAAUUGUAGUACCGGUGAAGAUGCCGGUUACCCGCGGCAAGACGGAAAGACCCCAUGGAGCUUCACUGUAGCCUGAUAUUGGGUCUCGGUAUUUUAUGUACAGGAUAGGCGGGAGACUUGGAAACCAGCACGCCAGUGUUGGCGGAGUCACCCUUGGGAUACCGCUCUUAAAGUAUUGAGAUUCUAACCUGCAGCCAUGAAUCUGGCUGGGGGACAUUGUCAGGUGGGCAGUUUGACUGGGGCGGUCGCCUCCAAAAGAGUAACGGAGGCG